UGGUUAAACAAAUUGGUGGCGAAACCCUUGCUGUUGCUGUAAAACGUGCCUGGGAGAGGGUCCUUUCACUCGAAGUUCGAGCCGUCGUAAACUGGAGUGGAAAAAAAAGAAAGGACAAACCCCAAAAGCAUAAGUUACAGGGAAUGAAAGUUACUGAAGCAAUUUUUACAGGAAUUCGCCAUGCGAAAGAGUUUGCUCAAGUUACAGACAAUGCACUUAUGAAGGAAACCCGUAAUGCUGUAAAGCAUGCUGCAGAAACUGUACGGAAUAAGACGGGAAUUGUCCCAGAGAAGCCUGGUUCUGACAGCAAUGAUGAGUAACGCGACCCAAGUAAGUUUUUGUUCACUUCUAUUGAUGGUUAAUUAAUAAUUAUUUAAAUUUUUUCUUUUCAAAGGGUCAUUGGUGUAGAAGAGAAUCAGCUUGUACACCUUUCCAAAUUAACUGUCCAUCAAAACAAACAACCAAGAAAAGUUCAAGUACCUGGCCUUGCUCAAGUUGCAUUUAAUGCCUCCUUCCGGGUGUCUUUUUGGUUCUCGAUCUCGGAUUCCAUAUUCAAGAGGAAUAUGAUGUUCAACGUCUAUGUCGUAUUGAAUUGCGCAACAACGUUGAUACCGAAGAAACUGAAGGAUUAGAAGAGGUAGUCGAGUUUUUCAUCAAAGAGGAGGCGACAUUCAUCGAAAAGUAGUUGCCAAUACUAUCG